rnacentral:rRNA from 1 species
CCUACGGGAGGCAGCAGUGAGGAAUAUUGGUCAAUGGACGAGAGUCUGAACCAGCCAAGUAGCGUGAAGGAUGACUGCCCUAUGGGUUGUAAACUUCUUUUAUAGGGGAAUAAAAUGUGCCACGUGUGGGAUUUUGUAUGUACCAUAUGAAUAAGGAUCGGCUAACUCCGUGCCAGCAGCCGCGGUAAUACGGAGGAUCCGAGCGUUAUCCGGAUUUAUUGGGUUUAAAGGGAGCGUAGGGGGAUUGUUAAGUCAGUUGUGAAAGUUUGCGGCUCAACCGUAAAAUUGCAGUUGAAACUGGCAGUCUUGAGUACAGUAGAGGUGGGCGGAAUUCGUGGUGUAGCGGUGACAUGCUUAGAUAUCACGAAGAACUCCGAUUGCGAAGGCAGCUUACUAAACUGCCACUGACAUUGCUGCUCGAACGUGUGGGUAUCAAACAGGAUUAGAUACCCCAGUAGUC